rnacentral:rRNA from 1 species
UACAGGGGGUGCAAACGUUGCUCGGAAUCAUUGGGCGUAAAGCGCACGUAGGCGGUUUGUUAUGUCGGAUGUGAAAGCCCUUGGCUCAACUGAGGAAGUGCAUCCGAAACUGGCAAGCUAGAGUACUAAAGAGGGUCGCGGAAUUCCCGGUGUAGAGGUGAAAUUCGUAGAUAUUCGCAAGAACACCAGUGGCGAAGGCGGCUCACUGGCCCGGAACUGACGCUGAGGUGCGAAAGCGUGGGGAGCAAACAGGG